CCUACGGGAGGCAGCAGUGAGGAAUAUUGGUCAAUGGGCGCGAGCCUGAACCAGCCAAGUCGCGUGAAGGAUGACGGCCCUAUGGGUUGUAAACUUCUUUUAUAUGGGAAUAAAAUGUUCCACGUGUGGGAUUUUGUAUGUACCAUAUGAAUAAGGAUCGGCUAACUCCGUGCCAGCAGCCGCGGUAAUACGGAGGAUCCGAGCGUUAUCCGGAUUUAUUGGGUUUAAAGGGAGCGUAGGUGGAUUGUUAAGUCAGUGGUGAAAGUUUGGGGCUUAACCGUAAAAUUGCAGUUGAAACUGGCAGGCUUGAGUACAGGAGAGGUGGGCGGAAUUCGUGGUGUAGCGGUGAAAUGCUUAGAUAUCACGAAGAACUCCGAUUGCGAAGGCAGCUUACUGGACUGCAACUGACGCUGAGGCUCGAAAGCGUGGGGAUCAAACAGGAUUAGAUACCCGAGUAGUC
rnacentral:rRNA from 1 species